rnacentral:rRNA from 1 species
UACGGAGGGUGCAAGCGUUGUCCGGAAUCACUGGGCGUAAAGGGCGCGUAGGCGGCUCAUGAAGGCUGUGGUGAAAGUCCGGGGCUCAACCUCGGAUCGGCCGUGGCGACUCGUGGGCUGGAGCACUGUAGAGGCGGGUGGAAUUCCGGGUGUAGCGGUGGAAUGCGUAGAGAUCCGGAAGAACACCAGUGGCGAAGGCGGGACUCUGGGCCGAUACUGACGCUGAGGAGCGAAAGCGUGGGGAGCGAACAGG